GGUUGGGUUGCUGGGUGGAAACCGAAGCUGGGUGGAAAUCUGAAGCUGGGUGGAAAUCUGAAGCUACCGGGGAGACUACUUCCCCAGUAGUCCUUAAAUGAAAGCUCAAACACUUUAAAUCUUACUGGGGGAGGGCACAGAGGGCUCCCCAAGAAAGGGAGCCUCUGAGAAGACUUAAAGGAAAUACUCCCCAAGACACAAGGGACAUUGAUAUUGUUUUGGGGGUCCAGGAAGGUGACAGGAAGGGGGCAGGUUCACCUGAAGAGGCUGGGUCAGAGUCGCGAGGAGGCCACCUGCUUCCAGGGGACCAUGGGCAGUGACAUCACCAGCAGCAGCCACUCGUCACCUUUUCCUUGUGUUCUGGGCACCAGAACAAGAAGUCAUAGGUAGCAGCCCAGGCUAUGCAGCAAUACCAGGAUGUAAUUAAGAUCCAGGGAGAACAAACCUAAUUCCUGUUUCAUGUGACGUGCCCAGCCUGUAUCAGACUGAAGAUUCCUGCUUCCCCCUCCCCCAUGCCCGUUUUUAAUUUUUCAGGGUUUUUGUGAAGAUAAAUGAGAUAAUCUUUGUGAAAGUAGUCUGAGUUCUCUUCAAGGCUGGAAUGUAACUAUGGAAACAACAUGUCCCCAAUUUUUGAGGACAGAUUCGUUUCUAUCUGAUGAACUCUUAUUUCAUACAUUUAAGUUUUUGAAUAUGUAAUACAUUCACAGGGCUCAAAAAUUCAAAAGUACAAAAAGGUAUACAUUGAAAAGUCUUACUGCCAUCCUUAUCCCCCAUCCUUUUAGUUCCUGACUUCUGUCUCCAUGCCCCCACGUAACCACUUUAAUUCCUUUUUGGAUAGCAUUCCAUAAUUUCCUUAUUUAAGUCCUUACAGAUGUAUGUUUCCCCACUGUGUCCCCCAUCCUGCUCCUCACUUCUUUCUAUUCACAUUCUAUCUUGAAGAUAUUUCCAUAUGAAAACAUAGAGUGCUUCCCAAUGAUUCCUUUUGACUUUUUCUAUUAAUAGAAAAUUUAAAACUUAGUAUAUAGAAAAUUUAACCUUUCAUAUAACCUUCAUCCAGCUUCAACAAUUACUGAUAAUUUGCCAAUUUUAAAAUCUACUCUUCUUUUAAAAUUUUUGUUGUAGGAUCCUAAAGCAUAUCCUAUUUCUAUUUUCAACUUUAUUAUUUUUAAUGGAUACACAAAUACUCGGAUAUAAAGAUAU